UGGGGAAUUUUGGACAAUGGGCGAAAGCCUGAUCCAGCAAUGCCGCGUGUGUGAAGAAGGCCUUCGGGUUGUAAAGCACUUUUGUCCGGAAAGAAAUCCUUGGCUCUAAUACAGUCGGGGGAUGACGGUACCGGAAGAAUAAGCACCGGCUAACUACGUGCCAGCAGCCGCGGUAAUACGUAGGGUGCAAGCGUUAAUCGGAAUUACUGGGCGUAAAGCGUGCGCAGGCGGUUUGCUAAGACCGAUGUGAAAUCCCCGGGCUCAACCUGGGAACUGCAUUGGUGACUGGCAGGCUAGAGUAUGGCAGAGGGGGGUAGAAUUCCACGUGUAGCAGUGAAAUGCGUAGAGAUGUGGAGGAAUACCGAUGGCGAAGGCAGCCCCCUGGGCCAAUACUGACGCUCAUGCACGAAAGCGUGGGGAGCAAAACAGGAUUAGAUACCCUGGUAGUCCACGCCCUAAAACGAUGUCAACUAGUUGUUGGGGAUUCAUUUCCUUAGUAACGUAGCUAACGCGUGAAGUUGACCGCCUGGGGAGUACGUCGCAAGAUUAAAACUCAAAUGAAUUGACGGGGUCAUAGCUG
rnacentral:rRNA from 1 species